UCUGGGGUUCAAUCGGAGACUGACAAGCAGGGGACAGGUUACCAAACCACAACUCCCAGACACCACCUCUCUUCCGCUUUUCCUCCCUUCCUCCAUCCCUUGAGGGCCCUGACUUGCCAGCGGUGGGGGCGGGCCUCAAACAUAGCCGAACCAAUGGGGGGACGAUCUUGGCGACCAGGGCGGUGCCGCCGAGGGGAGACCCCGGGAGUGGCGGUUGUUUCAAGAUGGCGGAUAUGACGGCUGUCACUGGCUCGGGGGUCGAGGCGUAUUGGAGCCGGGACCUUUCUGAUGAGGAACAUGCAGUGCUACAUAUUGAAGGAAUCUCUGCAGCAAGAAAUAGUAGAGCAAGAAGCAAGUUGAAAUUUCCCAAACCUGAUGUUAAACUAAAAGCUUCCAAGUCAACUGAUACUUCUAUCCCUAUGGAUCCUUUCAAAGGUGCAGGAGACUCAACAUGUAAAGAGAUUGUUCACAAUGGAGGAAUGAAGAGUGCCAGCUUGAAGGACUUAUGUCCUGAAGACAAAAGACGUAUUGCAAACUUAAUUAAAGAGCUUGCCAGGGUUAGUGAGGAAAAAGAAGUGACAGAAGAACGACUAAAAGCUGAACAGGAGUCAUUUGAGAAGAAGAUCAGAAAACUAGAAGAGCAAAAUGAGCUUAUCAUCAGAGAAAGGGAAGCCCUGCAGCAGCAAUAUAGAGAGUGCCAGGAGCUUCUGAAACUUUAUCAGAAAUACCUUUCUGAACAGCAGGAGAAACUCACUUUGUCCCUCUCAGAGCUUGGUACUGGUAAAGUGAAGGAGCAACAACAGGUGCCCAUCAGGAAGAACUCUCCUGAUUCUCCCCAUCAGGAAGAGAAUGAUGCUUAUAGGAACCUUACAAGUUCACAAAACUAUCAAAACAAGAAUGAACCUAAAUUUGCAAGCCAGAGCUCAGCUCCAGAAACAAAUCCGUGCUUCGAGAGUUAUUCUCACAGGAUAGCAGACCUUCAGCGUCCUCAGGAUGGUCUGAAUAGGGAACAAACAGAGGCAAGAAUAUGUAACCUCAAGUCCCCAGGAACAAGGUUAAUGGGCUCAAUUCUGACCAAGAGAACCUUGCCAAAUGAAAUGAGAAAUAAGGAAUUUUCUCACCUCCCGCCUUAUGUAGGUGGCUAUUGCCGUGUUCAGGGUUAUCCUGAAAAUGAAGAGCCUGUUCAUAGGAGCCAUCAGGCAGGAAUAACCAGACACCAUCCCAGGACACAUCAUUGUGAAUCAUGCAGUUAUUGUGGGCUUUCCUGGAUACCAUGUGAACCAGUGACAUUAGGGCAUGAGGAAAUGGAUGACAAAAAACAGAUGCCAGUCGAGAGGAGGAAGCAGCUUCUCCUGCAGAAAAUGGAGUUGGAGAUUGAAAAGGAGCGCUUGCAGCAUCUGCUGACCAGUCAGGAAACACAACUUCUAUUGAAGCAGCAGCAGCUCUUCCAGUCCCGGCUGGAUUACAGUCGGUUAAAAAGGCAGGCUGCAUUUAAUUCAAGAGACAUUGCCAUAGAUGGAGAAGCACUCAGUAAAAAAGACCUGAAUCUUUCAAUGAAUGGAAUUGGCACAGGACUGAGCUUUCUGCAGUCAAAACCUGAUGAUUACCUGCAUAGAACACCAACGCCCAGCAAAGGAAUCAAAUUGCACAGUACUACCGAAGAAGGGAACAGUAUAGGGAAGAAGCCAAUUGGAUUUCGGUCAAAUGUAAAGGAAGAUGACCUUUGGAUGUAUCGGCCAAAUGACACAAACAGAUCCAGAAGAGGGGAAAUGUCAAGAGCUAGAAAAGAUGCAACUACAUCUCCUAUAAUGCCAGUCACCGGAAAGGAUUUUGUAACCACAGCCACAUCACCAUUCCAAUGUGACACUGCCAGGUAAGCUGCUUGGGAACCUUUAGUUUAACAUUCCACAGUUGCACCCAUUCUAUCUGGCCAGUUAAGGGGAAGCAGCGGAGUUCCUUUGGUGCUGUGCUCUAAUGUGAGAUGGAUAAUAUAAUUUCUAAACUGCCCUAUCUUUUGACAUUUAUAGUAAGCUUUAAAUUGCUUAUUAGAAGAAGAAAAGUAGAAAUAUGCCAAGUUAGAACAUUUUUUUUACUUAGAUUUUCAAAUGAAUAUAUUUUAUGCUUAAAGUUCUGCUAUUUUUAAUAGACAUGUAAAUAAUUGAAAGAGUUAGUGCUAACCCCUGUUAGGCCUUACGUCCACUGGAAGGUUUUAAUCACUUUGCAUUUUUUCCAAGUUUUAUCAAAUGGAAUUUUUCUAAAAUGUAUCACACAGAUGUUAUUUUAUAUUUAAUGACAAGUAGCAAAAACACAUUAAGUCAGCAGCUUUGAUUAUACUGUGUGCCUACUCUCGAGGCUUCUCCGUAACAGAAAUAUCACUUUUACUCCAGUAAAAGGAAGUAGGUUUGUUUUCACUGCUAUAAUGUUCACAAUAACUUUGUCUCAUUUGGGGAUUAUAGCUCCCAAGACUGCAUGCGCAUGCAUGUGUGUGUAUAUAUGUGUACAUGUAUCAUAUUUGUUAAUGAAAAUUUUAAAUCAAUAAAAAUCAUAUCUCUUAUCCACAUGAUGACUUCCAGCAAUAGAAAUUGAAUUGGUUCUGGACCAAAAGGAUGAUUGGCUCAAUUGCUGAGGGUGAAUCAAGGGGAAAAGAACACUUGACAAAGCUUAAAAGGUGGGAAAAUAUAAUCAUUUCUCCCAUCCAGUACAUAUCAUGAGCUAAGUGGUCUCUCUUGUUCCCAUAGGAGACUGAUGGGUUUUUUUUCCCCUAUAUUCUGUGGAAAUGUGUAGUAUAUAAUCAGUGAAACCAUUGAUGAUUAGGAUAGGUUUUACCAUAGUCCCCAGUUGAAGUGAAAUUCAUCUUUUGAAGAGAUUAUUUCCCACUCAAUGCCCUGAUGUUUACAAUUCUAUAGUAUAACUACAAAAGGACAUUUUAAAACCAAAUACUCCAUUAAAAGGGCAACAGUAGUCUCAUUUAAAACAGCCACAUCUACAGAUAUCACUGUGGAGGUUGAAAUUCCUGUAGUGCCACUGGAGGCUCCUAGACGGUUAUAUAUGAACAAUGCCACAAAUUAUAUUAGUGAAAGGGAAUCUGUAAAAAUAGAAGUGAUUAGCUUGCAACAGCAUUUCAGAAGUUUAUUUAUUUUAUAAGGAAUAGAAAAUUGUGCCAUCUCUUAAUGCAUCUAACAACAUCUCUCCCCAAUGAGAGACUCUUACUGAAACACAUGUGAACUUGACCAGUUUAAGUAGCCUUGGUAUGCUUUUCCUUACUCAUGGGCUUCUUUAAUUGACAAUGGUAAAUGGACAAAGCUUUCUUCAGAGACCUAAAGCUGAUCCUAUCCUUCAUCAGAAAACCUGCUUGGGCAGCAGGUCCUUCCCAAUUUAUCAUUUAAUGCUUAUAAGCUUAGACUGCAAGUUUAACUAACUAAAUUAAUCAAUAUUGAGAAUUAUAGCAGCUUUUGUACAGCAGUUAAGGGACUGUCAGCAUGUUGGUGAUACCAAAGACCUUUGAGGGGUUAAUCAUUUAAUCAGCCAUAUUUCUUGAGACAGAAACUUGUUAUAUGAAGUAACAUAUCUCUUAAGACACUACCUCUCACUGUCUAUUUAAUGCUGAGAUAAAUAUCAGCUACAAAGGGGCUUAGUUUGUGUUUACUUGAGGAUGUUUGUGGUUUUGAACAUUUAUAUUCCUAGCAUCUCCUCAAACAAGUAUAGAUUAUAAGGUUGUUUUGUUGGUUUUUUUUUUCCCAAUGGGGGGACCAGUUACAAUCUUUUAACCUUACAAAAUGAACAUUUACUGCUUACAAGUCUGAUGAUUUUAAAGAAGUGUUUUGAAUCUAUUCCAUUGGUUUGGAGAAUAGUGACAUCUCAGCCUUCUCUAAGGAAAUGUACUAUAGGCCAAAGUCUGUAUAAGACUGUUAGAGCAUAGCAAUAAAGGUCCAUAAUUGGCUAUGUAUAAUGUAGCCACUGCCCUUACUUUUGCAGCCUUUCUCAUUAGAGUGCUACCACUCUGUGCCAUUAGUAUAUUCAUACUCUUGGUUUUGCUGCUUUUGAACUAAAUUCACAUGUUUGCCUAAAAUAUUGUAGAGUACCUGGUUUAGAAUAACCCAGACUGGCUAACGAUUGGAGCACCAGGAAAAUUCAGCCCAUCUCUUCUUAAGGGAGUGAGCUUAGUUGGAAGGAAAGGGGGAAAAAAAAGAAAAUCUGGAUUUUCAGUUGUUACACUGAAUUUUCUUGCUAUUGCAAACAUAAAUCAGACCUUUAACACUAAUAUGUUUUUUGAUGGUUACCUUUCUAGCAUGAAAAAGAAGAUUAAAAUGUUCCCGUCAUUUAGAUUUUGCAGAAUAGCCUCAAUACAUACUGUGUAUACUAUGUAAGCCCUGCAGAGCUUUAUAAAUCUGGAUUAAAAUUAUUGUAUAAACUUGUGUUUGUUAUGGGGUUUUAAAAACAGGCUUCUUUAUCUGUUAGUCCUUAACAGUUGAGAUUAAAUAUAAAGAUUCAGAAUAUUCUUAAGAAAUAAGUAUUUGACUAAAUAAAAUAAUGUGUAGCAUACCAGAUUUUCUCCUUAGAAGUGCACAUUGGCACAUUAUGGAUCCAUUAUAUAAAAUGCAGAGUUGAAAAAAGAUUCAGAGCUAUGAAAAUCAGUUACUGAAAAGAUGUAAGUGGAUGCUUUCCAGAUCUCAGUAUUUGAUGUGUUUGAGUUAUUUUCAUUUUCAAGCAUAGAGAAUGUGAAGUGCAUGAUUUUUGUAGAGAACUUUUUAGUUACUCACAAACUCUUAAUGGGGAGGAAAACAAAACAAUAACAAAAAAAUCCUUUUAUUUUUUAUCCCAACAAACAUUUUAAGGUUCAAAGGAGAGAGAAAAUAUAAGCACUUCCCCCAUCCAUGCCUAAAUUCCAAGCAUUUUUUAAGACUUGCAAAAAAGAAUGGGGGUGGAGAGGAAGCUGAUAGGAGACAAGUUUUACUUUUUUCCCUGAAGAGAACUAAGGGCCAGAAAAGUCCAAUAUAGUUCCAUAUGCAGGUGAUAAAACCAGACGUUGGCAAAUUAAUCUCUCUUAUUCACCGUGUAGGUUGUUAAUUGUUCUCUCUGCUGGCUGUCGAUAUAAUGUGAAAUUUUCAUUCCCCAUUCAAGAUGGAAAAAGUUGUGGCUGAAAAUGUUAACAUUUGCAUUUUUAUUUGUUGAUUUAUUUAAAGGACAGCCUCUCUUACAGCAAUCCAUCACUCGGUGACACCCCAAAUAUGAAUAAUGUAUUGUAGACUUGCGGUUACAAUGUGUAAUAAGUGCCAGAGACAGUAGAGGAAUGUUAACUAUGUUGCAAAUGUAAUAUUUAUCGACUCAUAAAGUUUAUUGCUUUCGAGGUUCAAUAAUACUGACCAUAGGACAUUAAUAUCACUUAUCUUGAUUUUAGUUGGGCACCUUUGUAUGUAGAAAUAUCCCAUCUAUCUCAUGCUUACAAAAUAAAUGUGAAAUUUACAGCACCAGUAAGUAGGGUGUUAUGGUGUUUCUGGAUGAGAGCUGCAGUGUGCCGUUCUCACCAUUUCACUUCUUGGCCUCCAGCAUUGAUCAGACACCUCUAAGUUGUCCCAGACAGUAAGCACAGUAGUCAUCUCUGCAUAGGAGGGUGGAAUAGCUGAACUGUGUGAAGACAUUUAUUUCCACUUGGCUGGGACAGGCAGAAUUCCAUUUCAGCUGGAGAAAGGGCUGGGAAAGGGGGGUCUUUUCUCUGUCAUUCUGAGCACCAGGUGGGAGGUUGAGAUUAGAACCCUGAGAUUUGGCUCUUGAUAGAAAGUUGAAGAAAUCAGUUUUCUUGUAUGGCAUCCAUCUUGUGAAGUAAUGUCAAAGUUCACUCCUUCUUUGGUGAUCAGAUUUCAUUUAAUCUUGUAGUCUCUGUGCUACAGAGCACCACAGGGCACCCGGGACUCCAGUUCUAACCCAAAGCUAUAAAAGAUGAAGUUGGAACAGGGACUUUGGCUUUCCAAAGCUAGGGAAAGGUCUGCUCCAACACACAAGCUAUUAUUAAUUAACCCUUUCAUGUCUGCCAGAGUUAAUGUAUCCAUUAAAAACAAUGAAGAUCACACUGGGAAUAUAUCUGACUCUUAGCAAAAAAAGAAGUAAUGUUAAUUAGCAACUGUCAGCUGUAAUUGUCAUCCUCAUUAAGAUGCAGAAUUAUGUAUUUCUUAGUUAUAAAUAACCUUUCUAAUUGUACUUGAUGUAUGCCAGUUUAAUCAAAAAGUACACUUGCAAACAGGCAGAUAUUUGCAUUAAUCUAGCAUUGGUUCUUCAAGAUUUUUUGAUAGUCUUUUCUUUCGUGUCUAACUCAGAGAAAAAAAGAUCUACUACAGUUGCAUAUCCUUUAUGUAUUAGUGGCUUUUUCUAUUCAGCUAUGUAGAACUGACAGGAUUUUAUAUUAAAAUUAGGUUAAAUAUCUUCUGAGAUUGUUCAGUGUAAUAGAAAUCUUGUCAGUUUUUGAAGCAAUUGAUAGAGUUUCCAUCACUCAAAUCUUUUGAUAAGAAGUUGAUUAUUGUUCCAGACUGAUAAAGCUGAACAUCAGGCAUAUACCCAUCAGGCUAAAAUGACUAAGGCAUUAGAGUGAAAGUUCCCUCCUACCUGAACUCUUCUGAGCAAGGUGAGGCUUGUGUUCUUGUCCUUCCACCAGGAAGUCCAAUCUGUUGUUCUCUUUUGUGAGGGAGGAGUAACGGGAAAUGUUAGGAUUCUUACUAAACCAUUCUUACAACUAUAUGUUGGUGAAUUUCUACUUCAGAGAUUCUGCCAAUGUUGGGGAUUUUUCUAGGGAGCGGGUCAACUUUUCUACCCUCUGGCUUUUGCAGGAAAAGGUGAACUCUUUGUGACAUCCUUUUAGGUUAUAGUUUGUUAUCUUGUUUUUACUGUGCUCUAUAAGAGCUUAUUAGUUCUUUCUUUUUUGGUUUCUUGGUUGGGGCAGAAGCAGGGAGAAAAAAAAAUACCAACAAAGUUGUUUGGAUCUUUUUUUCCUUUUUGGUCAAACUGCAGGUGCACUAUAAGUUGAAAUCAUUUUUUAAAAACUGCCUUUUUGUAUUACAGUCACACACACCCAUAUACUUACAUAAAUGGAGACUGAUCAGGACACAUGAUCUGCUCCUUGAAGGUGGCUUAUCUUCUGACUGGUAUUUAAGGUACCAAGAAUUGUAAUAUAAAUAAUGGAAAUUUUCAUAGGGCAUAUAAUGCUUAACUAUCCUCUGUCAGUGCCAAGAAGACCGGCACAUUCUUUUCUAAACUUAAAUUGCUAUUGUUUUAAGAUGCUUGUCUUUACUUUUAUUUUAAAAAAUUUGACAUGAAAAUUCAGUAUGCCUGCAGCACAAAUUGUGAUGGCAUAGCCUUAAAAGUGCCAGACACAUGACUGGGUGAGUGUUUUUGCAUCAGUUUCUGUUAAUACCCACCCUGUUAGAGUGUAAACCAAGGCUGGAGUGUAGGUACUUUGGGCAGUGUCUGGUUUCUCACAUAGAUUUACUUCUGACAAUUUAGAAAGUAGACAAGGGUGGGAAUCAUGCUAAUUUGCUAUUCUAAAAAUACCAAACAUACAUAAUAUCUGAGGUAAAAAUAACUGCUUUGGGAGUUUCUGCUGUCCAAAAAGCCUGAAGUUUUUUGAGCAUUUAUCAGAACUCAAGUCGAAAACUUGCAGAUGAUAAUAAGAGUUUAAAUACUAAUUGUAGUUAGUAUUAAUAAUUAUCAUAUAAUUUAUGUAGUCUUAUACUUUAUCAAGCAUUUCAGAUGCCAUACAACAGCCCUACAAGUAGAAAGAAUCCAUGUUUAUUAGUCAUUUUUCUUAUGAAAAGCUCAAAGAAAUUAAUUAACCACCAUAACUCAGCUAGUAAGUUGUAAUCAGGACUCAGACUCAAGUUUUUUGAUUCCAAGUAAAGUCUUCUUUCUGAUACCCUGUGCUGAUGGGUUGAGUAUUUAAUUGAGUUAGAUAUUUGUGAUCUAGGAUAAAAAUCCUCAAGUCAUGACUACCUAGGACUUGUUUUUUAUUUAUAUUAAACUCAGUACAUAAGCUUGUGACUAGGCCUCCUAAGGUGAUUGACUAAAGAAACUAGAACUGGAACUUAAGAAAAAGAAAAUUACAAUUAAAAUUAAGCUUCUUGAGGCCAGGAACUGUUUUAUUGUAGUUUCUAUUACUAACAGCUAGCAUUGUGCUUACCAAAUGCUGAUAAUAUAGGGUAGUCAAUAAAUGUUUAUUUAAUUGAAUUGAAAUCUCUGACUCUUCUUUUAUGUCUUAGGUUACUUUUAUUUCAGACUUCUUGAUGGUAUUGAAAAUCAGCAUAUAACUUGCCUCAACACAGAGACCACAUAGUUAAUGGCAAUGAUUAAUUACAGUCAUUAUUAUAAAAUUUCUUUAUUUGAAGAAACAUCUAUUGGUGCUUACUUCCAAACUUUGAGAUAAAAAUUCUAUUUUUCACAAUGGCCUCCUUAGAAUCUUGCCUAUUGAACAAGCUGCCAUAUUCACUUGUAUCUACCCCAAAUGUUAUUGUUUACUUCUUCUUUUUUACCAGCAAAAUUGGGCCUAUCAAAACAAUUGCAAGAAUAAAAUAAAGAUUAAAAGGAUGUGUAAGAUACUUUAGAAAAUAUUUUAUUAAAUGUAAAGUAAAAAAUACAGUUAUGCCUCUUUCUUUAAUCAUAAAUAAAGCUAGAAGGGACCUUAGAAAUGAUCUAGUUCAACUUCCUUAUUUUAAAGAUGAGGAAAAUGAGGCACAAAGUUUCACAGCAGUAUAUGAACCAAGUUUCUUUAAUUCUAAAUCCAUUGUCCUUUCUAUUACAUCUUGCUGCCAAUCAAUGGCAUAAGCUGUUAGGGUUCUUUGGACCUCAACAUAUCCCAGAGCACCUUCUCUUGGAGCUCAAUGCACAUCAUAGGCACCAUUUAAAUAAAUCACUUUUCAUUUGGUUUUCAAAAGUCAUUAAGGCAAUAGAAGUCUGAGCCCAAAUAACCUGUAAUUAUUUUUCUUUAAUAUUAGCAUAUUAUAAUAUUUAAUAAUAUCACAAAUGCCUCUUUCCAACAUUUGAACCUACCUUUAUGUCUCCCUAUUUCAUCAUGUGUUUCAUUUAUUUUGCUUUGGAGUGGGGAUAUUAAGCCUGGAAGGAAUGUACUCAUAGGUCCCACCACAAAUAUGAAUUCCCAGGAAAAUGUGUGUGUGUGUGUGUGUGUGUGUGUGUGUGAAAGAGAGAGAGAGAGAGAGAGAGAGAGAGAGAGAGAGAGAGAGAGAGAGAGAGAGAGAGAGAGAGAGAACAAAGUGGAGAAACCUAUUUUGGUAAUUAUGGUACCCUUUUCAUUUCCUUUAGACAUGAUGCCUAAUUCUGGGUUAGAUCCUAAGUACAGAGACCAGUGUUUGUUUUAAUAAUUAGUACCAAUCAAAGUAAAUUCUGAUGAUUUUACUCUCUGGGGAAGGAGUAAAGCCAAUCUAAAUUAGUGAAAGAUAUGGCUUCUCAUUAUUUAAAAGAAAUUUAAUAAACCAUCAAAUCUUUACUACAUGUCUACUGUGUAGAGGGGUCAGCCUUAGUGAGAAUAAAGGAUACCUCUUAAGGAGAGACAAGGUAAAGGAGGAGAUAAUGAGGAUGAAUAUAUAAGGGUUCUAUGAAAUAAGGAAAAGGGGAGGAGAGGGAACUCUUAGAGAAUACCGUCAAUUUUUUCAGUGAAAUGUGAAGCAGGAUUCUCGACUUAGAGGGGUGGAGAGAGGAGGAGCCAUGAGAAGUUUGAGGAGGGAUGAAAAGACUUAGAAAACCUUCUGUGGUUGCUGGGAGUGAAUUGAUUAGGGAAAUAAAAAAGGAUUUCCUUGCCAUGGUGAAAGCCCCAGAUAUAAGUAUGUAUCAUAAAGUUGUAGAGGACCUUGUUAGCAUAGUUUCUUGAUUUUCUCCAGUUUUAUUCAGCAACACAUGAAUAGAAGUGAAGGUAGUAGGUAAUGGAAAUGAUACAAGGCUAGGGUUUGAAAGUACAAGAUCAGCAAGAAGGUAAAGAGGUGAGAGACUUGAGGAAGGAGGAUGAUGUCAAAUAUGUUAGAAUGUAUCUCUCUGAGGAUAAGGAUUGUUUUUGCCUUUAUAUCCCCAGCACUUAGCACAUAGAAAGCACUUAAUAAAUAUUUGUUGACUAAUAGAAUGUAAACUCCUUGAGAGAAGAAAUCGUUUUAUUUCCAGUACCUAGUACAGGAGACACCUAAUAAACACUUGCUGAUUGACUGAAUAGUAUGAGAUUCUUGCAGAGGAAUACUAUAAUUAUAGAAUAAUCUAUAUCAAAUGUUUCACAAAACCUAGUAAACUGGAAUUAUAGUGUUUCCUUGAUAUUAUAGUUUUCCUUGUAAGUUUUGCAACCAUCCAAAAAAGGAAAAUAUGGUUAAUCUAUUAUGGCCUGAUCUUGAGGAAACCAUGCUGGCUCUUUUUAUUGCUGCUUCCUUUUCUAGAUGUUCACCACCUAUCUAUCUAUCAAAAGGUAGGCAACAAAUUUAUGCCUGAUUAAGUGGCAAAGCACAGCUGUAGGUAAGUUCUGAGGAGGGAGCUCUCACAGUAACCUAAGAAGACUUCACCAACGAGUUGGUGAGUCUUGAGAAAUAAGCAUUCUAACAAGUUGAGAGGGGAGGGCAGAGGCAUUUCAGGUUAAGUAAAUAUAUGCUAAAGGAUAAAUGGGGCAAAUCUACUUGAAAGACAGUGAUUAAAUUACUCAUGAUAGAGAAAUGGUUUUUGGCACUGGGUUUCCAUGAGAAAUAGUGUUGAAGAAGUAGAUUGGUUGUAUGUGUAAAGAUUUAGAAUUUAGUACUAUAAACAGUAAGACGCUCUUAAAUGUUUCUAAGCUGUAAAAUGGCAGAAUCUUGUGAUAUGUGGGGAAAUUUAGUCUAUAGUAUAUGGCAAGGAUGAGGGAAGAGUAUGAGAUUUGGAGAUAGAGAUUCUGGGUUCAAGUUCUGAUCCUACUGUUAGGGUCUAUAUGUUAUAUAACCUCUCUGGGCCUUGGUUUCUUUACCUGUGAAAUGAGAGUUUUGAAGUAGCCAAUCUCUAAGGUCCUUUUUAUCUCUGAAUCCCUUGGUCCUAUAAUGAGAUUGAUUGGAUAUGGGAAGAGCCUUGAGGCAGGAGGUUAUCUGCAGCUGAUUGGGUGACAAUAUCCCUGGUGGGAAGGGCAAUCAUCCCGUCAGACUAAUGGUUAAGGGUAUGUUACUAGCAAAGAUGUUUUGCACAAUAUCUGUAGCACCAAGAGCAAUAUGAAUAUAAUUCCUGUGUCUGAUGAAAAGAUCCUGCUUUUCCUUAAGCUCUGAUGUUUGGCCCAUAUUUUAACUUUUUCUGUUAAGAAACAUUAAUAUAUUUAUCUUUUCCUUUUGUGUACAUAGAUUGGUAGGAUCUAUGUGAAUAAGUAAAGAAAAUAAAAAUAAAUGGAUGAUAAACUAAAACAAUGAGGACGUAACAUGAGCUCUGGUAACUAGUGCAGAUUUUAGAAAAUUUUGUAUUAGUUAUUAGUGAUCCUUUUCUCCUUUAGGGGGCCUUGAAGACUUAGUCUUACCAGAGGAAGUAUAUGCUUAAGAAAAUGCACAUUCUUGUAAUCCCUUCUGUUCACCUUUCAGACAAGAACUUGUUGCUUCUUCAUUCCUUUAUUUCUUAAAUAUCCUUUCAAAAUACUCAAAUGAGAAACUUUUGUGUUUUGUUGACUGAAACCAUUGUAACUUCAGAUUCUAUCUAUCCUUACAGGACACAUUGAGUUGAAUAUCUUAUUUCCUUGGCAACCUUGUAUUCGAUAGAUAUUAUAUCUUCCACUCUAUAGAACUCUACAAAUACACUCAAGUCUAUUGGUUUGGGGCUCCCUGUAGCUUUGUUCACUGGAUUUCAAACUGGUCAGAUCCUUGGAAUAGAUUACUAAUCAUCUCAUUGAAGUCGACCUUGCCAAUAGUCUUACACAGGUUAGCAUUGAUUCAUUUCUUCACCCUGAGAGAAUUUUAAGUGUCAUUUGCCUUUCACAAAAUAGAUUUAGAAUAUCGUAGGAUUUAAAUUUUAUUGAAGAGACUUUCAAGAUCAUCUAGGCCAGCCUCAUGAUUUUAUAGCUGAAACAAGUGAUGUGGUCAUAAUUACCCAGAGGUACUAAAUGACAGAGCAGGAGUUCAAACAUAGACAUUCUACAAACAGUAUUGAUGCUAAUUCUUCAGCAUCUUAAGGUGUUGUCUCUAUUUUUCCUAAAUAUAGAAAGCUAGAUUAUAACCAUCUGCUGGAUAAUAAAGUUUAUCUUGGGAUUUAACAUGCUCUUCAGACAUCUGUUUGCUCAGGUGAAUAAAAGCUGCACCUGCACAUUUAAGUUGAUGUUAGAUUUCUUCCUCAUUGUCAACCUUUUGUGAAGAUCACUGAAAAUAAUCCAUGUUCUUUAGACCAGGGUGACCUUUUACUCCAUCUCCAAGGGCACCUGCAAUAUCUGGUAAACUUCAUGAGUAUGUGCCAACUUUUCUGGAUCGUUUUCUUAUUUUACCUCCUAUGGUAGAUUAUAGUAUUUGUAUAAUUAGAAUCUGCUCCCCAGGACUUAAUCCCAGCUUCCCAUGUUCCUCCUCACAUUAUGUCCUUACAUUUUGGAGAUGAAGUUUUUGUGUGGCCCUGCCCCUCACUUUUUUCCUUCAAAUGUGGCUGGGAAGACUUUUCUUUACUCAGGGUUUUACUUUUGUUUUUUUAUUUCUUUUACUUCAAGUGAUUAUUAAUAAAUCUUAUAAAAUAUAAUACUUGGAGUUAUAGGAUAUUAAUUUUAAUCUUACACACUUAAGGAAAUUUGGAAUGGCAAAGUUUGGAAAAUUUUGCUUUAGAUUUUUACCACCAAACUGAAUUUUUGAAACUGGCAACUGAUUAUGGUGUCCUUGUUGAUUGAUCACGUCCUUAUAAAAGGUAGCAAACCUGUACCUACCUGGGUUCCAAAAAGAACUUUUGGCAGGCAGAAAUAGUCCUAAGGAAUGCUUAUAAAGAUAUCUUCCCCACAUCAAUAGACAACAAGGCAGGACUAUUGUGAUUUUUUUUAGUUGAAAAUGUUUCCUUUAUUUAAAAACUGUAACAUUGACAGUAUAAUAUUCCUGAAAAUUACCAUUUUAAGUCUCUAUAGUAAGAGCUUUGAUCCAUGGUUCAGAUUCUCCUGUGCCCACUCCAAUCCUUUUAGCAGCAGUUUCAUUAGUUUUUGAUACCUCAUGGAUCAUUGGCUUGAAGAUUCACCUCAUCCUAUCAAAACUUGAGAAAAUUUUAGGGUUUGCUCUACUGCUCUCCAGAGAGAACUAGUGACAACCAGAUCCCAAUUUAUGAAGCAUCUUCAAAAUUCUCAUUGUGGUGUAUUUUGAUGUCAAUAUUCAUCAUCUACCACUAAUAUAUUAAGACAGUUGGUCCUUAGUACUUAAGUAGGGUGUGAAUAUUACCCGAUUUCAGAUCUCUCUCAGCUCAUAAUCAGAUCAUCUUUUCUUCACACUGAGUCAAAAAUCAUCUUCUCAUUCUGUUUUGGGGGCUUGUAGAUGCUUCAUGGUCUUUCAUUUAUAAUUACAAUUUUACAAAGUGUCAAAAACCUUAUGAAGGUUGUCAGAAAACUGAACCCAGAACCUUUCACUCUAAAUCCAUCAUUUUAAAUUUUUCUUAGUUAUAAAAAAAAAAAUACUCUUAUCAUCUCUCUUACAAUCAGUACUGAGUCUUGAUUUCAAGACAGGAGAAUAUUAAAGGCUAGGCAAUUGGAGUUAAAUGACUUGCCCAGAUUCAAUGAAGUAUCUGAGGUCAAAUCUGAACCCAAGAUCUCCCACCUACAGGCCUGGCUUUCAGUCCACUAAGCCACCUAACUGCCCCCUAAAUCCAUCACUUUUAAAAAUUAUAUACCAUAGACCAAUGCUCCCCAAAAUAUCUUAAGAUCCUGUCACUGUUUUGUCAUGUCAUAGCCAUAAUAUAUCUGGGUAGAAAAUAUGGAUUACUACUCAAAACGGGUACUGAACAUGAUAGACUUACUAGCACUCUAAGUGAUGCUAAAACUUGAAUGCUGUGGUUGAUUCAAAUUUAUCACUUUUUUAAUGUAUUCAGUUUGGAUGUUUGUGCUUUUUAGAAUUGAGGCCUUCCUUGAUUAGAUCUUUAAAUCUUUCAAUAAAGUUCUUCUGUAGACUUAGCUUUUACUAGGUUUAAAAGAUGACUUCAUGGACAUGGAUCAAAUUAAUUUGUGGACACUGGUGUCACUGGUAUUAAAAAAAUAAACUAGAUUGCUUUUUUUAUCCCUAGUAAAGAGGUUUAAUUCAUUACUUAUUUACUUAGUUGCCUUUUUGUUUUAUAAUAGAUUAGCAGAAGUGGAUAUUGUUUCUUCCUCUGUGUGAGUAAAGGUGUGAAUAUAAGAAAGUAAAGAGGAAGAGAGAGAAAUCUGACUACUAGCAGAAUGAAUGAAUGGAUGGACAAAUAUCUAUCACUAUGUGGCAAGCAUUGUAUAUACAAAUAAGUGAGAGAGCUCCUUUUCUAAAGGAGUUCACCCUAAUUGGAGGAGAUAACCCAUGGUUGAGUUUAGCUAAUGUGCAAGUUGAAAGUCCCAGAAAGCCUUAAGAAAGUGCAGUGGCAGGACAGAUAGUAAAUUCUGUUGGUUCUCCAUCUCACUGGAUGCCUAGAAUUUCUGAUUCCCAAUUUAUCUAAGUAGUCAUGUCCAGCCAUGACAUUCUUCUGGCCCAACUACUUCAUGGGGCCUAAGCAAACCUGCAUAUGAAGGGGAGGGGGAAAGGGAGGAGCAAAGGAAAGGCAAGAGUAGGGUCAGCCUCCCUUGUGAAUCCUUUACCCCUCCCUACUUUCAUUAGAUCUCAGCUCUGGGGUCAAGGCAAAAACAAAAGGAAGGGUACCCCCACUUGAAACAUCAUAAGCUGUUUCAUAAAAGCAGAAUACCGCAGAAAGCAGUUUAGAAAUACCUGAGCAGGUUUUUCAUUUAUUUAUUUGUUUGUUUGUUCUGUUUCUUAGAGCACAUGAAGAAUAUAUCCUUCCUAAAUUCUGACAGCUUAAAAACCUUCUGGGUUUUGUAUUCAUUUUGAAUUAUUUAAGGGAAAUAAAAGACAUUCUCAAGCAAUGGGAUUGCUUUUUGUUUUGAAUGGUGUGCAUUGAAUAAAUAAAAUGGUUCUGGAGAGUAUACUUUGUGGAUUUUCCUUUUCAGGGCACAAAAUAUCCCAUUCUAGGACACCAAGAAGGGCUAGGAGUACCAUCUACAUUAGAAUCAAAGAAAGAAGUGAUAGAAAUAUUGAUUAAAACUUACCCUUCAACCAGAACUGCAUCUCCCUUUCCCCCAGCACUUUGAGAGUUGGUCCCUGGGCAUGACUCUAUCUUCUAGCAGUAACUCCAAUUCCUUGGCAAUAAAGGAACCAAGUCAAGAUCCUAACUUACUGACUACUCAAAACAUUAUUAUUCCUAAGAAAGGACCUUGUAAACAUUGAAAUCUAUAAUUAUGACUUGUUAUUGUUAGUAAUAGUAAUAUAUUUAAGAAUCCCUGAUCCAGAGAUUUCAUUGCUUUACUAGUACAAAUCCCCAUCCACCAAUGCUUUCCUCUCUUUUGUGUUUCUUGUUCAUGUCCUUCUAUAAACCUUCCACAGGGAAAAUGCCUAAACCUUCAACAAGCCUCUGCUAGGGGUCCAUUUGGGUGCCAGGCACUCCAACAUUCAGGUUUGCUAUCUUUUACCCCUCAUUCUCCUUCAUUUCCUAGUAUGUCCGAUUAUGUCUCUUUGAGGCCCUUCACCAUGAGCUCCCUCUUUUCCCUUUCUCUUCAUCCCAAGAUUCUUUGACAUUAUCCUUACCUCUCUUUUCUCUCUGUCUUUGAUAAUGAGAUGGCCCUUCUCUUUGUGAAGGCUAAGCCCUCUCUAUGUGCCCUUGAUCUUCCUUUGCAGAAUAUUGCAUCCUUAGUCAUCCCUACUGUCUCUCGAAUCUUCAGCCUCUCCCUAACUGGUUCCUUUUCUACUGCUCUCAAACAUGACUAACUAUUCCCCAUCCUUAAAAACUUUCACUAGACCUCACCAUCUCCUUAAGCUAUCAGACCACAUCUCUCCUUCCUUUUUCAGACAGACUAGAUAUAAAAAUUCUACACUGGCUACAUCCACUUCCAUUCUUCUUACUCCUCAAGCCUUUGCAGUCUGGCUUUUGAACUUACUGCCUAACUGAAACCAUUCUCUCUAAAGUCAACAAUGAUCUCUCGUUUGCCAAAUUAGAUGGUCUUUUCUCAUUCCUAAUCCUUCUUGACCUUUCUUCUCCAACUGACUCUACUCACUACCCUCUCCUUCUGGCUACUCUUAUCUCAAAGUUUUUGUUACAGGUUUUUCUCCCACCUGUCUAAUCUUUCUCAGUUUCUUUUUCUAGCAUACCAUCCUAGAUGAUUUUCCUAACCUCAUCAUCCUUUAAUGUUGGGUAUUUCCCAAGAUUCUGACCUGAACCCUUUUCCUUUCUCUCUCCACCCUUUCAGUGUCCCCAUCAGACUCAAUAGGCUUAAUUAGCAUCUCUGAAUAUGACUCCAAGACCAAUAUGUCCAGCCUCAGUACACCCUGCAUUUUAGUCCUGCAUCAUCACGUCUGUUGCAUCAUUGAAAUUGGAUGUUUAAGCUAUCUCCCUUCAAUACAUCCAAAAUAGAAUUCACCAUCUUUCCCCCUGAACUCUUCCCUCUUCUAAACUUCUCUAUUUCUGUCAAAGGCGCCACUAUUCUUCCAUUCCCCUAGGCUUAUAACCUUGAUAUUAUCCUUUCAAAGAUAAUUAUAAAGAUUUACUAAAUGCUUUAUUUAUUUAUUCAUUCAUUAAGCAUGCUUACUUUGUACAAGGGACUAUGUGAGAAACAGGGUAUAAAGACAAAAGUGAGACUUCCUGACUAGAAGUCAGUCUGAAUGAGAAGUGAUGAGGGGAAGUGAAUGGAGAACAUUUUACCUUUGGCCAUAUGACUAAUCCUACUCCUUUCUCAUCCAUGACAAACAAUAGUGUCUCUGAGACCCCUGUGAAAAAGACAUCCUUCCAAAGCCACUCUGAAGAAGCAACUCCUUGCAAGCGGGAGUGUUGGGUUCCACUGCCAUCAGGGGGAAGGAGUGUUAGGCAGCUGUCCUGGCUUGGCAAGUUUAUGAUAUGAGCAUAUAGGUCAGCUAACCCCAAACUAGAACUUUCAUUUCCUCUUGUACCUCAAACUUAUGUCAAGUAUUAGAAGACUAGUGGGAUCCCUGCUCUAAGAGCCCCUAGGACCAUCCUAACAGCUUGCCCCAUUUCUUUGUCUCUUUGGGCAUUUUAUUUGAACUUUUUCUUGAGCAGCAAAAUAUUUCUACUGAUGCACAAUCCAUAGGGUCACAUGGCAUUGACUUUUACUCAAACCAGAAGAUUUCAUGCCAAGGUUGUAACAUUGUAUCAUUACUUCAGUAGAGUCUUUUGUAUUUGUGUGAAAAUUUUAAUUUCACGCCCUGCAGACUUCACAGUCUUUUGUACUCUCUCUGCUCAUGUUGUUGCAUAAAGGGUAAAUCCCUGUGUCACAUUCAUUUUGUAUUGGAAGAGAGUAAAGUUCAGUUCCAUUCUGAGGUUUCCAUACAAAGUCAGGUAGAAGUCUUUUGGUAGAACUGCUAUCUGUUAAUUAACCAAAAAACAGGAACUCCUUUCAACUAAUAAGGCUUUUCCAUAUGGGUGAGUGUGACCCCAGUGCUCAAAAAAGAAAAAAAAUCCCUCUGUAAACACUGGAUAUUGGUGCUAUUUUAGUUUGUACAGAUGAUCAUGAACUUCCUGAUUGAAACACAGGAUAUCUACAGGUGUUUGGGUAUAAAAAGCAACCAGACUGGGGCCAAGAUCUUUUUUUAACUAGUUGUUGCUAGCAAAUAAAUUAAAAUCUCUCCCUCACACAUCUGUUCAAUUUAAAGAGAGAGAAGGAAAUGUCGUUGUGUUGGGAAAGCUGUCAGUGUGGAGAAAAAUUCCAGAACAGGUUUGAAGCAAGCAACACCAAAUCAUUAUUUUGAUAUAAUGAACUUUUUUAAAAGCCUGAAGUUAACAUGAAGGUAGUCAUAAAAUCAGAGAUUUAAAAAUUUUAACUAUAAUUGUAGAUCCAGAGUUAUAAUAUAAUUAUAUGGUAUUUUGGAAAAAUAUAUUCAUAAAGCCUUUUAAGAAAAAUUUAAUAACUGCUUCAUAUCUCACAGACUACUCAGCUCAAUUCUUUGACCCCAUUCUCAAUGCUCAGCGCCCAGGGUCAAUCUUAAUUCUAAAGAAGAUGAUUUGUCAGUGACCAGGCAGCUAGCAAUCACCCUCUGUAAUAUGAACUGUAAUAUCUUUCUGAGCUAAGGGGGGAUCCAUUCUAGAAAUCUAUGUUUGCUGAUGAGGUUUUAAAGAAAGCCACAAGGGUAACCUGGUGGAAGUCAGUUAAGAACCUGUAUUCAUCAGAGACUAUUGAAGUGAUAAUCCAGCUUUUAAAGAAGGAGCUUCUAGUGUAUGUAUGGGGAGACUGUUUUCUUUCUUCCUCUGGAGUAACUCUUUCUAAAUUGCAUAGUCCUUUGGGAGCUGAAAAGGAAGAAAAGCUCUUCUUUCUUUUUCAGUUUGUGAAUAAAUAAGGAGAUAGGAUGCUCUAGAAACCAAGGUUCACAUUGUUUGAUUUGUCUGUAAUAGUCUAUCUAACAGCACAAAUAUCUGUUAUAUUUUAUGUUGGCCACAAAAUAACCAAAGAAUCAUUCUCAUUUCAGAUAUGACCACAAAAUUUAUCUUUUAAAAUUUCCAUUUUAAGAUUUAAAAUUUGCCAUAUUCUUAAAACAUGAAGUACAAAUCUGUCUCAAAGAUAGGAAAACUAUUAUCAAAGAAUAGAAUCAAAGAAUGGAGCAGGCAAUAUCAAAGAAUAGAAAUAUGUGCUUUGAUAGGAAGAAAUUAUUAAGGCUAGAGACUGAAACCUGAAUUUUUCUUUGAUUUAAAUGAAAUCUGCCCUUGGAAUAUUCUAAACUGGGAUUGAGUUUACUCAUAAAACAUGUGGUGUGGCCCAGGGAACUAAGCCCUUUUCCAUAGAGGAACUCACUUUUCAGAGGUUGUCUUGGAUAAACUGUGCUCAUACCCCAGAAAUACCUCUGGCCUUUCACCCCUCACCAAAGGGAGCACUUAUCACUUGGUUUGUCAUCCCUUUGGAAGGGAGGGACCUAGAAUCCUUCUGUAUCACCUAGUCAACCUCCCCAUUUACAGAUAAAUAGGAACCUUGGGCAUAUUUUUCACAGCAGAGUGGUGACACUGACAAAUUGAAACUACACUAAGACACUAAUGACUUAGCUUGCUUGCUUUGCUUUCUCUCCACCCCUCACCCCAAAAUAUAACUAUCUCUUCUUCUAUUGCCAGGCUGUUUUUCAAGUGCUUUAUUUUUGGUUGCUAUUACUGCUUAGAGUUUCUGGAAGGGAAUGGAAGAUGGGGAUGAGGGUGGUUCACUAAUGUUAUGGUUGCCAAAUCAGGUGCCAAAUUUUGUUGCACAGCCUUAUUCUAUCAAAAGAGCUUUCAUAUUAAGAGAGAACUAAUACAGUUGGAAGAUAGUGGCACAGAGGCUUGUCACCAAUUCCUAUCACUUUCUAAGUCUUGCUUAAGUUUCUUGUGAGUGAGUGUGUGUAGAGUUCAGCAUGAAAUAUGCAUCUGCCUUGGCAUGAGGUAGGACACUAGAGUGAAUUGCAGGGAGUUUUUCAGCUGGUAACCCUUCUAGUCUUAGUGCCAACUCAGAGCAAACAAGAGUGUAGGGUUUACUGUACCCCAUGACAAGGUUUACUGUCCACUUCCUUGCCCUUGUGCUUGGCCUAGUCUCAGUAACCCAAAGAGAAUGGGGCUUCUUCCUACAUCUGAAAUGGUUCUGCAGAAUCAAUAGAUUGGUAAGUGGGAAAUAUUCAUUAGAUAUUAUUUUGUUCUUAUUAAUAUAGAUUUUUCCUGCUUGCUACUUCUCAGUUCUAAGUGAGCACAGUGAUCCUACUCCUUUUAGAAACCAAAAGUGUAGAAUCUGACAUUUCUGCAUUCCCUGUUCACAUCAAACCUAGGGUUCUGUCCUCAGAAAAAUCAUAACUUCUAAACAAAGGAAACAAAGCCCCUGCCUUCCUUCUAGAACAUAGACUUGAACAUUCUACCGUUGCUCAGUAUGUCCUCAACCUUGAGGUCAGGGUCUCACUGUCCCACCCUUCUCUUCCAAAGAAUUUCAGCCCUAACUGAUUCUUCAUCACCUCUAAGUUUAUGCCUUUUCUAUUUAAUUGGUGUUAACUGGGAGAGUGUCUUAAAAAAUAAAGAUGUUGAUUUGAUUCCAUACAUUUUGCCUUUGCCAGAGCAACCAUUGAAGCUUGGCAUUCUUCAACUGGGCCUGAAGCCUGUAGGGUAUGUGGAAAGGGCAGGAAAAAGAAAGGGGGGAGGCUCUUUUUCUUCUCCUGGGUGGCUUUCACUAAUGGGCUCUUAUGAGAGUUACAAAGUCCAUCUAUCCAAAUUGUCUUUCUGUUUGAAAGUCCAAGCAGCCAUAAAGUAGAACACUACGGUGCAGUUUUAGAAUCUUAAAUUUCAAACAAUGGACUGAUGAAUUAUUUAUGCUGUUGAAUGUGUUUUCAGUAAUGUGUGGCAUAAAAUGGAAUGAAUGCGUAUCCAUACUUGCCCUGAACUCUCCAAAGUGCAUGCUAAUAAACAGGAUGAUAACCUAGCAUCACUCUGGUCCUAUACGAUUUACAAGGCAAGCAAUUUUUCUUUUUCUUCACAGUUUUGGUUUUCACCAUUAUGUUUUAAAUUCCUGUCAGUUUGUCAUUCUGCCGGCAGCUACUGCUUGGCUCCAACUGGAGGUACAAUACCUCCCUGUUGGACUUGGUCCAUUCUCUGAGUCCCCGCUCUGCUUCUAGACCACGGCCACCUCUCUCAAGAGAAGCUUAUGCCUGGAAUCACAGCCCAGUCCAGGUCUUCCCCCGAAAGCUAGC